AGUGAACGCUGGCGGUAGGCCUAACACAUGCAAGUCGAACGGCAGCACAGUAAGAGCUUGCUCUUACGGGUGACGAGUAGCGGACGGGUGAGGAAUACAUCGGAAUCUACUUUUUCGUGGGGGAUAACGUAGGGAAACUUACGCUAAUACCGCAUACGACCUACGGGUGAAAGCAGGGGAUCUUCGGACCUUGCGCGAUUGAAUGAGCCGAUGUCGGAUUAGCUAGUUGGCGGGGUAAAGGCCCACCAAGGCGACGAUCCGUAGCUGGUCUGAGAGGAUGAUCAGCCACCCUGGAACUGAGACACGGUCCAGACUCCUACGGGAGGCAGCAGUGGCGAAUAUUGGACAAUGGGCGCAAGCCUGAUCCAGCCAUACCGCGUGGGUGAAGAAGGCCUUCGGGUUGUAAAGCCCUUUUGUUGGGAAAGAAAAGCAGCAGGUUAAUACCCCGCUGUUCUGACGGUACCCAAAGAAUAAGCACCGGCUAACUUCGUG
rnacentral:rRNA from 1 species